rnacentral:misc_RNA from 1 species
GAUUAAGAACGUAGCGAAAUGCGAUAAGUAAUGUGAAUUGCAGAAUUCAGUGAAUCAUCGAAUCUUUGAACGCACAUUGCGCCCGCCAGUAUUCUGGCGGGCAUGCCUGUUCGAGCGUCAUUUCAACCAUCAAGCCCUGCUUGCGUUGGGGUCCUGCGGCUGCCCGCAGGCCCUGAAAACCAGUGGCGGGCUCGCUAGUCACACCGAGCGCAGUAAUACAUCUCGCUUUGGGCGUGCGGCGGGUUCUUGCCGUUAAACACCCCCUUUUUACCAAGGUUGACCUCGGAUCAGGUAGGAAUACCCGCUGAACUUAAGCAUAUCAAUAAGCGGAGGA